rnacentral:rRNA from 1 species
GACGAACGCUGGCGGCGUGCUUAACACAUGCAAGUCGAACGGAGCACCCUUGAAGGAGUUUUCGGACAACGGAUAGGGAUGCUUAGUGGCGGACUGGGGAGUAACGCGUGAGGAACCUGCCUUUCGGAGGGGGACAACAGUUGGAAACGACUGCUAAUACCGCAUGAUACAUUUGGAUCGCAUGGUCUGAAUGUCAAAGAUUUAUCGCCGAAAGAUGGCCUCGCGUCUGAUUAGCUAGUUGGUGAGGUAAUGGCCCACCAAGGCGACGAUCAGUAGCCGGACUGAGAGGUUGGCCGGCCACAUUGGGACUGAGAUACGGCCCAG